GAUCUAGAUCUAGAUCUAGAUCUAGAUCUAGAUCUAGAUCUAGAUCUAGAUCUAGAUCUAGAUCUAGAUCUAGAUCUAGAUCUAGAUCUAG
rnacentral:miRNA from 1 species